GCCUCCGUAGCUUAAAAUAAAGCAAACAUUGAAUGUUUUAAAGGGGGGCCACACAACAGGGGGCCAAAU
rnacentral:tRNA from 1 species